rnacentral:rRNA from 1 species
CCUACGGUGGGCAGCAGUGAGGAAUAUUGGUCAAUGGCCGGAAGGCUGAACCAGCCAAGCCGCGUGAAGGAUGAAGGUGCCAAGCAUUGUAAACUUCUUUUGUCUAGGGACAAAAUCAGGCUCGAGAGCCUGACCGUGGGUACUUUAAGAAAAAGCAUCGGCUCACUCCGUGCCAGCAGCCGCGGUAAUACGGAGGAUGCUAGCGUUAUCCGGAUUUAUUGGGUUUAAAGGGUGCGUAGGCGGACUGUUAAGUCAGCGGUAAAAGCUCGGGGCUACACCCCGGCGAGCCGGUGAAACUGGCUGUCUUGAGAUGUCGAGAGGUAUGCGGAAUGCGCAGUGUAGCGGUGAAAUGCUUAGAUAUUGCGCAGAACUCCGAUUGCGAAGGCAGAAUACCGGCGGCGAUCUGACGCUGAGGCACGAAAGCGUGGGUAUCGAACAGGAUUAGAUACCCGAGUAGUC